UGCAGCCUUGUCAAAUUCAGUGUGUUCAUUGUAGUGGACAUCACUGGCCAAAAUGGCUGCUACAAAAAAUGUAGUUCAUGGGCCUCACUGCCUUACAUUUUGGGAAGUGAGGAUAAAUAUGCACUACAGACAAAU